UAUAAACAUUCCAUGAGACUGUCUCCAUCUUGUCUUCAAUAUUGCUCCUGCUUCCAGAUGCAGCUGGGACAGAGAGCUGGGAAGGAUUUGCUGACCCAUCCCAAUACAGGAUGUACACCAGAGACUUCAAAGCAAGCAGUUCGUAACAUCUAUGCUGAAAGCCUGCAUCAAGAACCAGGUGAUUGAUGAUCCACCUCAAGAAAGCAAUUGAAGCAAGCCACAAGGGAGUGAGGGGAACAACGCCUUUCUGAAACAAAGAGAUGAAAAUUUGCAUAUUCCUUCUCAGUCAUGAGGACCAAAAUUUUCCCUCUCUCGCUGUCAUCACUGUGACACUUUGCCCCUAUUUUUUAUGGAAAUACAUUUUGACUAUGAAUAAACUCAAAUAAGCUUUAUGCAAAAUAGAACAAGUGACCCAUCAUUCAAGAGCCUGUGAUCCCCUGAAUAUGUAUAUUCUAUUUGUGUACAUGUAUCAUCCUUGUAUGUGAAGUUAGAAUUAUGAAGUGUAAACCUGUUUAUUAAUCUUGGUCUUCUAAUGAAAGACAUUAGUGGUACUUAAGAGAUUUAAUGGCCUGGUAUUAAAGACAAUGAUCUGAAAAUGGUUUUGUUUUUCUAAAAUGUGGUUGAUCUUACAAAGACAUGCAACAAUGUCACCUGGUGCUUGAAUCUAUCUUGAAUUUGGUAUUUUUCCAUAGGUAUGGGGAGAAUUAAACAAAGGAUUACCGCUGUGGGGAAAUUCUAUUUAAGGAAUGGGGAGCAAUCAAUGAUCGCCUUCAGCUCGCUUUUGAAAACUGCCUCCCCAUGCUAUGAGGAUACACAAGAAGCUGUUAGACCAAAGAAAAGAACAGCUGCGGCUUUUUGGAUUUUACCUGAAAUAAGGACUAAGGGGAGAGAUAUGAUCUGUAAUAAUCUCAUGGGGUGUGUCUAGACUACAGGGUUUUUUCGAAAAAAGUAGACUUUUUUAUAAAAAUUUCACCUGAGUCUAGACUGCAGCCAUAUCAUUUUGAAGGUAAAUCAAAAGGACGCUGCAGUUUUUUCGAUUGCGGUAAACCUCAUUUUAUGAGGAACAACACCUUUUUUCAAAAGUACUCACUCAAAAAAGGU